CCUACGGGCGGCAGCAGUGAGGAAUAUUGGGCAAUGGACGAGAGUCUGAACCAGCCAAGUAGCGUGAAGGAUGACUGCCCUAUGGGUUGUAAACUUCUUUUAUAUGGGAAUAAAACGUUCCACGUGUGGGAUUUUGUAUGUACCAUAUGAAUAAGGAUCGGCUAACUCCGUGCCAGCAGCCGCGGUAAUACGGAGGAUCCGAGCGUUAUCCGGAUUUAUUGGGUUUAAAGGGAGCGUAGGUGGAUUGUUAAGUCAGUUGUGAAAGUUUGCGGCUCAACCGUAAAAUUGCAGUUGAAACUGGCAGUCUUGAGUACAGUAGAGGUGGGCGGAAUUCGUGGUGUAGCGGUGAAAUGCUUAGAUAUCACGAAGAACUCCGAUUGCGAAGGCAGUUCACUGGACUGCAACUGACACUGAGGCUCGAAAGUGUGGGUAUCAAACAGGAUUAGAUACCCUUGUAGUC
rnacentral:rRNA from 1 species